ensembl:snRNA U1 U1 spliceosomal RNA
GGGCCCACCCGGGGGAUGCCGUGGUCACGAAGGCGGUUUUCCGCGGCGAGCCUUGUCCACUGCGGUUUUCCCGAAGGUGGGAAACUCGACCCAUAAUCUGCGGUCGUGGGGACCGGUUCGCGCCCUCCCUG